rnacentral:snoRNA from 1 species
GUCUAAUGAUGAGACCAAGGCGAAUAGGAGCUUACUGAUUGAGAGUUGGGUACUUCUAGCCUUGACUGGCAGGUAAUCUUGGCAGUGCAGGGGAGAAUUCCUGUUCUGCUGUAAGGGCCUGCCCACAGUGACCUGGCUCACCCAAAUUAUUCUUCUACAGUCGCAGCUGAAUAAUUGCUGGGUUGAGGCUGACAGUGUGUGUGUGUGUGUGUGUGUGUGUAAGGCUAGGAGUUCACUCAGCUCUUUGUUGUUCAGUGGGCAAUGAAUUCUCUCUUUGGUAAUCUGAAGGCA